UACGUAGGGACCAAGCGUUGUUCGGAAUUACUGGGCGUAAAGGGCUCGUAGGUGGCCAACUAAGUCGGACGUGAAAUCCCUCAGCUUAACUGGGGAACUGCGUCCGAUACUGGAUGGCUUGAGUUUGGGAGAGGGAUGCGGAAUUCCAGGUGUAGCGGUGAAAUGCGUAGAUAUCUGGAGGAACACCGGUGGCGAAGGCGGCAUCCUGGACCAACACCGACACUGAGGAGCGAAAGCCAGGGGAGCAAACGAG
rnacentral:rRNA from 1 species